rnacentral:lncRNA from 1 species
AUUUUCUUGUAUAUAAUUAUAAACCCCAAGAAUGCAUUUUUUCAACAGAGUCAUUCUUUUUGCUCUCUUUAGGGUGAAAGAGGUCCCCUUGGUCCUCCAGGCUUACCUGGAUUGACUGGGAGCAUAGGACCCCCAGGACCUCCUGGAAUUAAGGGAGAUCCAGGCGAAGUAAUCAGCAUCAGACCACCUACCCUAAAGGGUGAAAAAGGCUUUCCUGGCCAUCCUGGACUACCAGUAAGUCUUAACUAAAGAACAGUCAGUCUUAAACUAGAUAA